UCAUUCACUAAGGAUAUUUGGACCAAUUA
rnacentral:piRNA from 1 species